rnacentral:misc_RNA from 1 species
GAUGAAGAACGUAGCGAAAUGCGAUAAGUAAUGUGAAUUGCAGGAUUCAGUGAAUCAUCGAAUCUUUGAACGCACAUUGCGCCCAUUAGUAUUCUAGUGGGCAUGCCUGUUCGAGCGUCAUUAAGUCCACUUAAGCCCUGCUUAGUGUUGGGAGACUGCUCCAGCGGUGCUACCCUGUAGCUACCCUGCAGCUCCUCAAAGACAGCGGCGGAGUUGUGGUAUCCUCUGAGCUUAGUAACUUGUUCUAGCUUUCGAGUACACCACUUCCCCUGCCGUAAAACCCUUAAUUUUUAAUGGUUGACCUCGGAUCAGGUAGGAAUACCCGCUGAACUUAAGCAUAUCAAUAAGCGGAGGA